GCCAAAACCCGAUGGGGGCGGGGCCAAUGAAUGAGGGGGCGGGGCCAUUGAUGGAGGGGGCGUGGCCAAUGCGGGAGGGGCGGGGCCUCAGCAUUGCCCCUGGGGACACUGCCGCUGGGUGGGGGGGGCCCGGGGGUGCUGGUGGGGGGGGUGCCAUGGGUGCCAUGGGUGCUAUGGGUGCUGUGGGUGCUGUGGGUGCUGUGGGUGCUGGUGCCAUGGAGCCCCUUGGGGAGCUCAGGGCUGGGUCUUGGGGACCUUGGGGGGGGUGUAAAUGGCCGGGGGGGCUGGACCAGGACCAUGCCAAGCUGUGCCAUGCGGUGCCAUGCGCUACCACGCCGUGCCACACUGUGCCGUGCCAUACCAUGCUGUGCCAUGCCCUGCCGUGGCAUUUGGUGCCAUACCAUGCUGUGCCAUGCCAUACUGUGCCAUGCUGUGCCAUACUGUGCCAUACUGUGCCAUACUGUGCCAUACUGUGCCAUGCCGUGCCAUUCGGUGCUGUGCCAUGCGGUGCCAUGCCAUGCUCUACCACGCCGUGCCACACCGUGCCAUGCCAUAUACCAUGCUGUGCCAUGCCCUGCCGUGCCAUUUGGUGCUGUGCCAUGCCGUGCCAUUUGGUGCUGUGCCAUUCAGUGCCAUGCCAUACUGUACCAUACUGUGCCAUGCUGUGCCAUACUGUUCCAUUUGGUGCUGCCAUGCGGUGCCAUUGCUCUACCACGCCGUGCCACACUGUGCCAUGCCAUAUACCAUGCUGUGCCAUGCCGUGCCAUUUGGUGCCAUGUCAUGCCGUGCCAUGCCAUGCCAUUUAGUGCUGUGCCAUGCUGUGCCAUGCCAUACUGUGCCAUACAGUACCAUACUGUGCCAUGCCGUGCCAUUCAGUGCCGUGCCAUGCCAUGCCGUUCCACACCGUGGUGCCACAUGAAGCCCAAGGUCCCCAGUCAGGGCUGUCCCCCCCCAAACCCUGGGACCCCCCCCAGGCCCGGCUGUGGCCGAGGGGCUUGGAGCUGGGCACCGAGCCGGGCACAGCGCCCACCCGGCUGCCUUCGGUGCACCGGCAGCGGGUGAGGGUGAUGCAAGGAA
rnacentral:lncRNA from 1 species